CCUACGGGUGGCUGCAGUGGGGAAUAUUGGACAAUGGGGGGAACCCUGAUCCAGCCAUGCCGCGUGUGUGAAGAAGGCCCUCGGGUUGUAAAGCACUUUCAGUGAGGAAGAACGCCUGGUGGUUAAUACCCAUCAGGAAAGACAUCACUCACAGAAGAAGCACCGGCUAACUCCGUGCCAGCAGUCGCGGUAAUACGGAGGGUGCGAGCGUUAAUCGGAAUUACUGGGCGUAAAGCGCGCGUAGGUGGCUUGAUAAGCCGGUUGUGAAAGCCCCGGGCUCAACCUGGGAACGGCAUCCGGAACUGUCAAGCUAGAGUGCAGGAGAGGAAGGUAGAAUUCCCGGUGUAGCGGUGAAAUGCGUAGAGAUCGGGAGGAAUACCAGUGGCGAAGGCGGCCUUCUGGACUGACACUGACACUGGGGUGCGAAAGCGUGGGUAGCAAACAGGAUUAGAUACCCUUGUAGUC
rnacentral:rRNA from 1 species